rnacentral:rRNA from 1 species
CGGGGUGGAGUAACGCGUGGAUAACCUGCCUCACACUGGGGAUAACAGUUAGAAAUGACUGCUAAUACCGCAUGAGCGCACAGUACCGCAUGGUACGGUGUGAAAAACUCCGGUGGUGUGAGAUGGAUCCGCGUCUGAUUAGCCAGUUGGCGGGGUAACGGCCCACCAAAGCGACGAUCAGUAGCCGACCUGAGAGGGUGACCGGCCACAUUGGGACUGAGACACGGCCCAA